UCCGUAGGCGGGCAAUUAAGUCAGAGGUGAAAUCCCACAGCUCAACUGUGGAACUGCCUUUGAUACUGGUUGUCUUGAGUUAUAGUGAAGUAGAUAGAAUAUGUAGUGUAGCGGUGAAAUGCAUAGAUAUUACAUAGAAUACCGAUUGCGAAGGCAGUCUACUAAUUGUAUACUGACGCUAAUGGACGAAAGCGUGGGGAGCGAACAGGAUUAGAUACCCUGGUAGUCC
rnacentral:rRNA from 1 species